AGUGAACGCUGGCGGCGUGCUUAACACAUGCAAGUCGAACGAGAACGGGUUAUAACUUGUUAUAACUGUCAGCUAAGUGGCGCACGGGUGAGUAAUGUAUAGGUAAUAUGCCUCUUACUAAGGGAUAACAAAUGGAAACGUUUGCUAAUACCUUAUACUCCUUAUUAACCUAAGUUAAUAAGGGAGAGAUUUAUUGGUAAGAGAUUAGCCUGUAUUGUAUCAGUUAGUUGGUGGGGUAAUGGCUUACCAAGACUAUGACACAUAACUGGUUUGAGAGGAUGAUCAGUCACACUGGAACUGAGACACGGUCCAGACUCCUACGGGAGGCAGCAGUGGGGAAUAUUGCACAAUGGACGAAAGUCUGAUGCAGCAACGCCGCGUGGAGGAUGACACAUUUCGGUGCGUAAACUCCUUUUAUAUGAGAAGAUAAUGACGGUAUUAUAUGAAUAAGCACCGGCUAACUCCGUGCCAGCCGCCGCAGUAAUAC
rnacentral:rRNA from 1 species